GAGAUAACUCCUACGGGAGGCAGCAGUGGGGAAUAUUGCACAAUGGGCGCAAGCCUGAUGCAGCAACGCCGCGUGAGGGACGACGGCCUUCGGGUUGUAAACCUCUUUUAGCAGGGAAGAAGCGCAAGUGACGGUACCUGCAGAAAAAGCACCGGCUAACUACGUGCCAGCAGCCGCGGUAAUACGUAGGGUGCAAGCGUUGUCCGGAAUUAUUGGGCGUAAAGAGCUCGUAGGCGGUUUGUCGCGUCUGCUGUGAAAACGCGAGGCUCAACCUCGCGCCUGCAGUGGGUACGGGCAAACUAGAGUGCGGUAGGGGAGAUUGGAAUUCCUGGUGUAGCGGUGGAAUGCGCAGAUAUCAGGAGGAACACCAAUGGCGAAGGCAGAUCUCUGGGCCGUAACUGACGCUGAGGAGCGAAAGCGUGGGGAGCGAACAGGAUUAGAAACCCUUGUAGUCCUCCACU
rnacentral:rRNA from 1 species